CCUACGUGCGGCAGCAGUAGGGAAUUUUCGGCAAUGGGGGGAACCCUGACCGAGCAACGCAGCGUGAACGAAGAAGUUAUUCGUAAUGUAAAGUUCUUUUAACAAUGAAUCAAGAGAAAUUUUACGUUACCUGAAGAAUAAGCUCCGGCUAACUGCGUGCCAGCACCCGCGGUAAUCCGUAGGGAGAGAGCGUUAUCCGGCAUUAUUGGGCGUAAGGGGUGCGUAGAUGGCAUAGUAAGGCUUUUGUAAAAAUGCUGGGCUCAACCCAGUAGGGCAAAAGAUACUGCAAAGCUAGAGUAUGACAGAGGCAAGCGGAAUUAGAGGUGUAGCGGUAAAAUGCGUAAAUAUAUGUAAGAACACCAGUGGCGAAGGCGGCUUGCUGGGUCGAUACUGACAUUGAGGCACGAAAGUGUGGGGAGCAAACAGGAUUAGAUACCCGUGUAGUC
rnacentral:rRNA from 1 species